rnacentral:rRNA from 1 species
GACGAACGCUGGCGGCGUGCUUAACACAUGCAAGUCGAACGGAAAGGCCCUGCUUUUGUGGGGUGCUUGAGUGGCGAACGGGUGAGUAACACGUGAGUAACCUGCCCUUGACUUUGGGAUAACUUCAGGAAACUGGGGCUAAUACCGGAUAGGAGCUCCUGCUGCAUGGUGGGGGUUGGAAAGUUUCGGCGGUUUGGGAUGGACUCGCGGCUUAUCAGCUUGUUGGUGGGGUAGUGGCUUACCAAGGCUUUGACGGGUAGCCGGCCUGAGAGGGUGACCGGCCACAUUGGGACUGAGAUACGGCCCAGACUCCUACGGGAGGCAGCAGUGGGGAAUAUUGCACAAUGGGCGGAAGCCUGAGGCAGCAACGCCGCGUGCGGGAUGACGGCCUUCGGGUUGUAAACCGCUUUCGCCUGUGACGAAGCGUGAGUGACGGUAAUGGGUAAAGAAGCACCGGCUAACUACGUG